rnacentral:lncRNA from 1 species
GGUCCAAGCAUCCUCAUUAAGAGCCCAAAAUCCCAAAAAGAUUCAGAAAGAAGAACGGAGGAGGGAAAAAAUAAAAUUAAAUUAAAAUCCACAGCUACUUCCUUGGAACCAGGCAAGCUCUUGGUCCUUCACAAGGGAAAAAAUGGAGCUACUGUUUGACCUGAGAGCACGCAGCCAUCCAGCCCCACAGAUCCUGAGGCCACCCGGCCAGGAGGAGGAUGUACAGAGCGCAGCAGGGAGCAGUAAUUCAGCCAUCCCUGCCCUGCGUGGGUGCAGCAGAGCGAGGUCAGCUCAGGACCCUGGAUCACAGUGAGCGGCGGUGGGUGGCUGCACUGGGGCCGUUCCCAUGUCAGCGCUGGGGGAAGGAGCACAGGAUGACCCCGGGUGCACCCCAAUCCCUGAGGGUGCUGGGCACUGUGCUGCCUCUGCCCUUCCUCCCUCCCAUCCGCAGCGAUGUGCUGGUGGCUGUUCCUGCUGCAGCGCCUCAGCUCUCCUCUCAGGUGCACCUUGAGCCUCCACUGUUGGCCCCAGGACCAGCAGGACAUUCCCACACGUAUGCAUGGAUGGGGUCUUCUUGCAAAGCUCUGCAAUGCUGAGAAAUAAUAGCCCAAAAAGGAGAGGUGUCUGCAGCGCUGGGCUGCAACUGCAGCUUUCUACAUCU